CAGUCCUGCCAUCCUGGGAAUUACUCCCUCAAUAGCAAGAAUGUCCUUCCUCAAAUUAUUUGUAGAUGUAGAUCCUAAGGUUUAUUUUGUCUUUUUUUUCCUCUCCUGACGAUCUCUUAUUUCAAGUGCACACGGACUAUAUUUUGCAACCUUGAAAUGCAUUUUAGUGCUCUUGGAAGAUGAGUAAAAUGUAUCUUUUCUUUAUUAAAAAAAAGGAUAGGAAACAAAAUACUCAAUUCUUAUCAGUUUAUACCAGAUUGUCAAAUGCAUCAGGACAGUUUGUGGAGUGCAAUCUUGUUAAUCAUGUUCACUUGUCCGAUGAAAGGUGGUGCUCUGCCAUCCAGAAUAUUAUAUUACAGGGUACAUAAAUACCAUCAUGCAGCUGAUUCAAACUGGGAACACAUCCAGUGUCCAUUCUACAGCUGAGCCGGAAAGGUGACCUCUUUUAAUGUUAUUCUUAUUUUAACCAGUUGCGGCCAUGUCUUAAUUGCAAUGUAAGUUCCUUGUCUCAAAAGUAAAAGGUAUGAAAUCUUGUAUGUUGAGGUAAUUGUAUGCCUGUUGUGCUCCAUCAGCUCUUGCAUCCAGAAAUAAACAUAAAACGUGUUUUA